AUGGAACAAUGUAGGCAAGGGAAGUCGGCAAAACGGAUCCGUAACUUCGGGAAAAGGAUUGGCUCUGAGGACUGGGCUCGGGGGUCCCGGCCCCGAACCCGUCGGCUGUCGGCGGAUUCCUCGAGCUGCUCACGCGGCGAGAGCGGGUCGCCGCGUGCCGGCCGGGGGACGGACCGGGAAUCGCCCCUUCGGGGGCUUUCCCCGAGCAUGAAACAGUCGACUCAGAACUGGUACGGACAAGGGGAAUCCGACUGUUUAAUUAAAACAAAGCAUUGCGAUGGUCCUCGCGGAUGCUGA
rnacentral:rRNA from 1 species